UACGUAGGGGGCAAGCGUUGUCCGGAUUUAUUGGGCGUAAAGAGCGUGUAGGCGGCCAGUCAGGUCCGUUGUGAAAACUGGAGGCUCAACCUCCAGACGUCGGUGGAAACCGUCUGGCUAGAGUCCGGAAGAGGAGAGUGGAAUUCCUGGUGUAGCGGUGAAAUGCGCAGAUAUCAGGAAGAACACCCGUGGCGAAAGCGGCUCUCUGGGACGGUACUGACGCUGAGACGCGAAAGCGUGGGGAGCGAACAGG
rnacentral:rRNA from 1 species